AGCUUUAAACUUCCUUACAAGGAAAAGGGAAUGGAAGGGGAAACCCCAGCCACUGGCAGAAUUGCUUGAGGCCCCUCUGUUGGGGCCUAAUGUGCAGUGCAAUUCAGAAGAAUCAAACGGUUUGUUUCACAAAUCUGUCUUUAGAGGUUUUCCGCUUCCUUUACUACCCCUCCCAAAUCAAAUCCUUCUGUCUGCUUUUUCUAGAACUCCCAGUUUUUCUGGAGAAGACAGGAAUGUUUCCAUUCUACACGAGGGUCUUGACAAUUAUAUGGAAUGGCUUACCCUAAACUCUGGGCAGACUCAAUCAUAGCCUCUCACCAACCUGACCUUGAACUUGAGCCACUUUGUGGGAAAGGGCCCACAGGCAGUAGUGUACAUCACUCCUAAUGAGCAUUGCUAUAAUUGAAGACACCAAGCACGAAAUCUUCACUAGAUCGCAUUUGAAAACAAUAUGGAAGAAAAGGGAGGAGAUGUCUCUUCAGUGCUUUCCAGUUUCUCACCAGAGUUUCUUGCUUGUCUAAUUAUGAACUGCAGAAAUAUCCAGACUUUUACCUAAAGACUAAGAAUUUUUCACCAAUUUUUACUUGGUAGAUGAUAGAUAUGUAGGGCAUGUCCACAGUUUUAGUUUCCACUAGGCAAACACCCACACAUGCACAUUUAUUCAUCCUUGUACAGUAGAGGCAUUAAUAGAUCCCUAAAUUUAAAAAAUAAUAAUAGUCAUAGUCAUGCCCUAUGACCCAGCAAUUCCAUUCCUGGGCAUAAACCCAACAGAAAUGAACCUUUAUAUCCAUCAAAAGUCAUGUACUAGUAGGUCCACAGCAGCUUUAUCUGUAGUUGCUCAAAGCCACCCAUGGCAGCGCACGCCUGUAAUCCUAGCUACUAAUCCUAGUGGAGGUGGGAAGAUCGCUUGAGCCCCGGUGUUCAAGAC
rnacentral:lncRNA from 10 species